rnacentral:sRNA from 1 species
AUUUUGCGUUAGGGAUAGCUGCGAAAAUCCUUUUUAUUUUGGCUCUCGACUCCGCUCGAGCUGAUAAAAUAAAUAGAUUGCAGCGAAUAGUCCGGCCAGGA